rnacentral:rRNA from 1 species
AUUGAACGCUGGCGGCAUGCCUUACACAUGCAAGUCGAACGGCAGCACGGGAGCAAUCCUGGUGGCAAGUGGCGAACGGGUGAGUAAUACAUCGGAACGUGCCCAAUCGUGGGGGAUAACGCAGCGAAAGCUGUGCUAAUACCGCAUACGAUCUACGGAUGAAAGCAGGGGAUCGCAAGACCUUGCGCGAAUGGAGCGGCCGAUGGCAGAUUAGGUAGUUGGUGAGGUAAAGGCUCACCAAGCCGUCGAUCUGUAGCUGGUCUGAGAGGACGACCAGCCACACUGGGACUGAGACACGGCCCAGACUCCUACGGGAGGCAGCAGUGGGGAAUUUUGGACAAUGGGCGAAAGCCUGAUCCAGCCAUGCCGCGUGCAGGAUGAAGGCCUUCGGGUUGUAAACUGCUUUUGUACGGAACGAAACGGCCUUUUCUAAUAAAGAGGGCUAAUGACGGUACCGUAAGAAUAAGCACCGGCUAACUACGUGCCAGCAGCCGCGGUAAUACGUAGGGUGCAAGCGUUAAUCGGAAUUACUGGGCGUAAAGCGUGCGCAGGCGGUUAUGUAAGACAGUUGUGAAAUCCCCGGGCUCAACCUGGGAACUGCAUCUGUGACUGCAUAGCUAGAGUACGGUAGAGGGGGAUGGAAUUCCGCGUGUAGCAGUGAAAUGCGUAGAUAUGCGGAGGAACACCGAUGGCGAAGGCAAUCCCCUGGACCUGUACUGACGCUCAUGCACGAAAGCGUGGGGAGCAAACAGG